GGUUAAGCGACCAAGCGUACACGGUGGAUGCCCUGGCAGUCAGAGGCGAUGAAGGACGUGCUAAUCUGCGAAAAGCGCCGGUAAGGUGAUAUGAACCGUUAUAACCGGCGAUGUCCGAAUGGGGAAACCCAGUGUGACUCGUCACACUAUCAUUAACUGAAUCCAUAGGUUAAUGAGGCGAACCGGGGGAACUGAAACAUCUAAGUACCCCGAGGAAAAGAAAUCAACCGAGAUUCCCCCAGUAGCGGCGAGCGAACGGGGAGGAGCCCAGAGCCUGAAUCAGCAUGUGUGUUAGUGGAAGCGUCUGGAAAGGCGCGCGAUACAGGGUGACAGCCCCGUACACAAAAGCGCAUGUGCUGUGAGCUCGAUGAGUAGGGCGGGACACGUGGUAUCCUGUCUGAAUAUGGGGGGACCAUCCUCCAAGGCUAAAUACUCCUGACUGACCGAUAGUGAACCAGUACCGUGAGGGAAAGGCGAAAAGAACCCCGGCGAGGGGAGUGAAAAAGAACCUGAAACCGUGUACGUACAAGCAGUGGGAGCACAGGUUUACCUGUGUGACUGCGUACCUUUUGUAUAAUGGGUCAGCGACUUAUAUUCUGUAGCAAGGUUAACCGAAUAGGGGAGCCGAAGGGAAACCGAGUCUUAAUUGGGCGUUAAGUUGCAGGGUAUAGACCCGAAACCCGGUGAUCUAGCCAUGGGCAGGUUGAAGGUUGGGUAACACUAACUGGAGGACCGAACCGACUAAUGUUGAAAAAUUAGCGGAUGACCUGUGGCUGGGGGUGAAAGGCCAAUCAAACCGGGAGAUAGCUGGUUCUCCCCGAAAGCUAUUUAGGUAGCGCCUCGUGAAUUCAUCUCCGGGGGUAGAGCACUGUUUCGGCCAGGGGGCCAUCCCGGCUUACCAACCCGAUGCAAACUGCGAAUACCGGAGAAUGUUAUCACGGGAGACACACGGCGGGUGCUAACGUCCGUCGUGAAGAGGGAAACAACCCAGACCGCCAGCUAAGGUCCCAAAGUCAUGGUUAAGUGGGAAACGAUGUGGGAAGGCCCAGACAGCCAGGAUGUUGGCUUAGAAGCAGCCAUCAUUUAAAGAAAGCGUAAUAGCUCACUGGUCGAGUCGGCCUGCGCGGAAGAUGUAACGGGGCUAAACCAUGCACCGAAGCUGCGGCAGCGACACUAAGUGUUGUUGGGUAGGGGAGCGUUCUGUAAGCCUGCGAAGGUGUGUCGUGAGGCAUGCUGGAGGUAUCAGAAGUGCGAAUGCUGACAUAAGUAACGAUAAUGCGGGUGAAAAACCCGCACGCCGGAAGACCAAGGGUUCCUGUCCAACGUUAAUCGGGGCAGGGUGAGUCGACCCCUAAGGCGAGGCCGAAAGGCGUAGUCGAUGGGAAACGGGUUAAUAUUCCCGUACCUGGUGUUACUGCGAAGGGGGGACGGAGAAGGCUAUGUUGGCCGGGCGACGGUUGUCCCGGUUUAAGCGUGUAGGCUGGUUUUCCAGGCAAAUCCGGAAAAUCAAGGCUGAGGCGUGACGACGAGGCACUACGGUGCUGAAGCAACAAAUGCCCUGCUUCCAGGAAAAGCCUCUAAGCCUCAGGUAACAUCAGAUCGUACCCGAAACCGACACAGGUGGUCAGGUAGAGAAUACCAAGGCGCUUGAGAGAACCCGGGUGAAGGAACUAGGCAAAAUGGUGCCGUAACUUCGGGAGAAGGCACGCUGACACGUAGGUGAAGUGAUUUACUCAUGGAGCUGAAGUCAGUCGAAGAUACCAGCUGGCUGCAACUGUUUAUUAAAAACACAGCACUGUGCAAACACGAAAGUGGACGUAUACGGUGUGACGCCUGCCCGGUGCCGGAAGGUUAAUUGAUGGGGUCAGCGCAAGCGAAGCUCCUGAUCGAAGCCCCGGUAAACGGCGGCCGUAACUAUAACGGUCCUAAGGUAGCGAAAUUCCUUGUCGGGUAAGUUCCGACCUGCACGAAUGGCGUAAUGAUGGCCAGGCUGUCUCCACCCGGGACUCAGUGAAAUUGAACUCGCUGUGAAGAUGCAGUGUACCCGCGGCAAGACGGAAAGACCCCGUGAACCUUUACUAUAGCUUGACACUGAACACUGGUCCUUGAUGUGCAGGAUAGGUGGGAGGCUUUGAAGUGUGGACGCCAGUCUGCAUGGAGCCGUCCUUGAAAUACCACCCUUUAAUGGCUGGUGUUCUAACGUAGACCCGUGAACCGGGUUGCGGACAGUGUCUGGUGGGUAGUUUGACUGGGGCGGUCUCCUCCUAAAGCGUAACGGAGGAGCACGAAGGUUGGCUAAUCCUGGUCGGACAUCAGGAGGUUAGUGCAAUGGCAUAAGCCAGCUUGACUGCGAGCGUGACGGCGCGAGCAGGUGCGAAAGCAGGUCAUAGUGAUCCGGUGGUUCUGAAUGGAAGGGCCAUCGCUCAACGGAUAAAAGGUACUCCGGGGAUAACAGGCUGAUACCGCCCAAGAGUUCAUAUCGACGGCGGUGUUUGGCACCUCGAUGUCGGCUCAUCACAUCCUGGGGCUGAAGUAGGUCCCAAGGGUAUGGCUGUUCGCCAUUUAAAGUGGUACGCGAGCUGGGUUUAGAACGUCGUGAGACAGUUCGGUCCCUAUCUGCCGUGGGCGCUGGAGAACUGAGGGGGGCUGCUCCUAGUACGAGAGGACCGGAGUGGACGCAUCACUGGUGUUCGGGUUGUCAUGCCAAUGGCACUGCCCGGUAGCUAAAUGCGGAAGAGAUAAGUGCUGAAAGCAUCUAAGCACGAAACUUGCCCCGAGAUGAGUUCUCCCUGAGACUUUGAGUCUCCUGAAGGAACGUUGAAGACGACGACGUUGAUAGGCCGGGUGUGUAAGCGCAGCGAUGCGUUGAGCUAACCGGUACUAAUGAACCGUGAGGCUUAACCUU
rnacentral:rRNA from 1 species